UACGUAGGGGGCAAGCGUUGUCCGGAUUUAUUGGGCGUAAAGAGCUCGUAGGUGGUUUGUCGCGUUGUUCGUGAAAACUCACAGCUUAACUGUGGGCGUGCGGGCGAUACGGGCAGACUGGAGUACUGCAGGGGAGACUGGAAUUCCCGGUGUAGCGGUGAAAUGCGUAGAGAUCGGGAGGAAGGCCGGUGGCGAAGGCGGCGCUCUGGAACAUAUCUGACGCUGAGGCGCGAAAGCGUGGGGAGCAAACAGG
rnacentral:rRNA from 1 species